rnacentral:sRNA from 19 species
GUCAACACCCCUGGCUGGCGGCUCGGGGCUUCUAGCCUCAAACCGAUAGGAUUAGUUGACCCGACACGCGUACCUUGAGUACUACGUUAUUGGUAAGCGUUUAAGUUCCUACCUACGGAUGCGCAGCCAGUCUGUAGCUCUAGA